GGCUCCGUAGUGAAGUUCAUGGUGAGUUGCAAGCUCAUCGAUGCACAUUAGUUGUGUGCCGGGGUCU
rnacentral:tRNA from 2 species